UGCUUGGGAAUUUGCCUUUAGGUGGGGACGAACAGUUGGAACGAACUGCUAAUACCGCAUAAUAGCUACGGCUCAAAGGGGACGGCUUGCGCUUUCGUCCUUUAGUAGAAGCCCAACGUGGGAGUUAGAUAGUUGGUGGGGUAAGUGGCUCACCAAGUCAGCGAUCCCUAGCUGGUCUGAGAGGAUGAUCAGCCACACUGGAACUGAGACACGGUCCAGACUCCUACGGGAGGCAGCAGUGGGGAAGUAUUGCACAAUGGGGGAAACCCGUGAUGCAGCCAUGCCGCGUGUGUGAAGAAG
rnacentral:rRNA from 1 species